rnacentral:rRNA from 1 species
UACGGGGGGGGCAAGCGUUGUUCGGAAUUACUGGGCGUAAAGGGCUCGUAGGCGGCCAACUAAGUCAGACGUGAAAUCCCUCGGCUUAACCGGGGAACUGCAUCUGAUACUGGAUGGCUUGAGUUCGGGAGAGGGAUGCGGAAUUCCAGGUGUAGCGGUGAAAUGCGUAGAUAUCUGGAGGAACACCGGUGGCGAAGGCGGCAUCCUGGACCGGUAUUGACGCUGAUGCGCGAAAGCCAGGGGAGCAAACGGG